GGGAACUACAAGCACAAGCUUAAAACCCAAAGGACUUGGCGGUGCUUUAGACCCCCCUAGAGGUGCCUGUUCUAGAACCGAUAACCCCCGUUCGACCUCACCUUUUCUUAUCCGUACCGACUAUAUACCGCCGUCGUCAGCAUACCCUGUGAAGGAAGCAUAGUAGGCUAAACUGGCAAAGCCCAAAACGCCAGGUCGAGGUGUAGCGCACGAAAAGGAAAGAAAUGGGCUACAUUUCCUCCCCCAGGAAAAACGAAUUGUGCCAUGAAACAACACAUGAAGGUGGAUUUAGCAGUAAGCAGAAAACAGAGAGUUCCGCUGAACCCGGCCCUGAAGCACGCACACACCGCCCGUCACUCUCCCCAAACACAUACAGCACUCAUACUUAAAAAACCAGAAAGAAUGAAGGGGAGGCAAGUCGUAACAUGGUAAGUGUACCGGAAGGUGUACUUGGACAAAC
rnacentral:rRNA from 1 species